CAAGUCGAACGGUAACAGGAAGCAGCUUGCUGCUUCGCUGACGAGUGGCGGACGGGUGAGUAAUGUCUGGGAAACUGCCUGAUGGAGGGGGAUAACUACUGGAAACGGUAGCUAAUACCGCAUAACGUCGCAAGACCAAAGGGGGGGGACCUUCGGGCCUCUUGCCAUCGGAUGUGCCCAGAUGGGAUUAGCUUGUUGGUGGGGUAACGGCUCACCAAGGCGACGAUCCCUAGCUGGUCUGAGAGGAUGACCAGCCACACUGGAACUGAGACACGGUCCAGACUCCUACGGGAGGCAGCAGUGGGGAAUAUUGCACAAUGGGCGCAAGCCUGAUGCAGCCAUGCCGCGUGUAUGAAGAAGGCCUUCGGGUUGUAAAGUACUUUCAGCGGGGAGGAAGGGAGUAAAGUUAAUACCUUUGCUCAUUGACGUUACCCGCAGAAGAAGCACCGGCUAACUCCGUGCCAGCAGCCGCGGUAAUACGGAGGGUGCAAGCGUUAAUCGGAAUUACUGGGCGUAAAGCGCACGCAGGCGGUUUGUUAAGUCAGAUGUGAAAUCCCCGGGCUCAACCUGGGAACUGCAUCUGAUACUGGCAAGCUUGAGUCUCGUAGAGGGGGGUAGAAUUCCAGGUGUAGCGGUGAAAUGCGUAGAGAUCUGGAGGAAUACCGGUGGCGAAGGCGGCCCCCUGGACGAAGACUGACGCUCAGGUGCGAAAGCGUGGGGAGCAAACAGG
rnacentral:rRNA from 1 species